rnacentral:rRNA from 1 species
AGCGAACGCUGGCGGCAUGCCUAACACAUGCAAGUCGCACGGGGGGGCUUCGGCCUCCCAGUGGCGGACGGGUGAGGAACGCGUAGGGACCUGUCGAGGGGUGGGGGAUAACCGCGGGAAACUGCGGCUAAUACCGCAUGACGCCGCGGCGUGACAGCCGGGGCCAAAGGCGAAAGCCGCCCGCCGAGGGGCCUGCGUCCGAUUAGCUGGUUGGCGGGGUAGCGGCCCACCAAGGCGUCGAUCGGUAGCUGGUCUGAGAGGGUGAUCAGCCACACCGGGACUGAGACACGGCCCGGACUCCUACGGGAGGCAGCAGUGGGGAAUAUUGGACAAUGGGCGCAAGCCUGAUCCAGCAAGGCCGCGUGGGUGAAGAAGGUCUUCGGAUUGUAAAGCCCUUUCGGCGGGGACGAUGGUGACGGUACCCGCAGAAGAAGCCCCGGCUAACUUCGUG